AAAACCCAGGCGUGGUGGCUCACACCUGUAACCCUAGCACUUUGGGAGGCUGAGGCAAGUGGAUCACCUAAGGUCAGGAGUUUGAGACCAGCCUGGCCAACAUGGUGGAACACUGACUCUACUAAAAAUACAAAAAUUAGCCAGGCAUGGUGGUGGGCACCUGUAGUCUCAACUACUCGGGAGGCUGAGGCAGGAGACUUGCUUGAACCCAGGAGGUAGAGGUUGCAGUGAGCUGAGAUUGCGUCGCUGCAUUCCAGCCUGGGCGACAGAACAAGACUCCAUAUCAAAAAAAAAAAAAAAAAAAGCCUCUGUGGCCUUGGGGCUGGACCAGCUCAAUGAAGUAGGGGGCUCCCUCUGCCAGGCUGCCUGAGCUUGAGGCCCCAGGGCUCAGUCAGGCCGAUCUUGCCUCUUUACCCGCUACUGGGGAAGGUGCAGGAAGCGGAUUUCCUAAGAAACACCUGGGCAAUGGCCUUCUAGACUUGUCUACUUCUGACCUCAAGUCAAGGAAGAGAAGAUUGGUUAAAAUGACUUUCUACCAUGCUAUUUUCUUUGUCAGUUCCUGCAGAGCCUCCAACAAGGUGUGUGGGCAUCCUCUGUCCUUCAGCAUCAGUCACCCAAGCUGGGAACCCCAGAGGAGGAAGCACCUGUUUUUGCCCUAACUUAGGGAAGGGCUUUGGAUUCUCCGCCAUUCAGAAUGAGUCACUGUGAGACUGCGGAGCGGAUUUUACUCAUCCCCCAGGAAUGGACCCUUGGAAGGCUCCAGAAUGACUAGCCUCAAGUGUUCUGUCUCAGGCACGGGGCAUUUUCCCCCACUCCACGUCUGCAGUCACUUCCUCUCUGGACACAUCCUGUUUCUGGGAGCAGGCGGCAUGCCAAGCAGAUUGCAGCCUCUGAGCAGACGGGCGGAGACAUCCUUCCUCUUAUUUCUAGUACCUAAUCCCAUCUUCCUUCCCAGUCAGAGAUAUCGAUCAGCAUCUCUGCUUUUCCCAGGUCCCUGCACGCCAGGGAGGGAGAGUAGAGAAGGAACAUGUUUCUAUUGGCAACUCCAACUUAUUGGAAGUGCUUAGAAACCUCUGCUGAUUUCUCACCAGCUUCUGAAGCACAGGAUCUUUUGGGAAGCGGCACCGAUAGUAUCCUGAACAGGGUGAGAGCAGGAUGUGGGAGCAGCAAAACCACUUAGGAGGGCACUGCAGGCCAGGCGCUGUGGCUCACCCCUGUAAUCCCAGCACUUUGGGA
rnacentral:lncRNA from 10 species